rnacentral:rRNA from 1 species
UACGUCGGGUGCGAGCGUCGUCCGGAUUUAUUGGGCGUAAAGAGCGUGUAGGCGGCCGAGCAGGCCCGUUGUGAAAACUGAAGGCUCAACCUUCAGAGGUCGAUGGAAACCGUUCGGCUAGAGUCCGGAAGAGGAGAGUGGAAUUCCUGGUGUAGCGGUGAAAUGCGCAGAUAUCAGGAAGAACACCCGUGGCGAAAGCGGCUCUCUGGGACGGUACUGACGCUGAGACGCCAAAGCGUGGGGAGCGAACAGG